UACGGUGAACGAGCCGGCCUCGACGGUAUCCCCUUAGCAAGCACCGGCUAACUCCGUGCCAGCAGCCGCGGUAAUACGGAGGGUGCAAACGUUGCUCGGAAUCAUUGGGCGUAAAGCGCGCGUAGGCGGCUGAACAAGUUGGAUGUGAAAGCCCUGGGCUCAACCUAGGAUGUGCAUUCAAAACUGUUCGGCUUGAGUCUCGGAGGGGGUCAGAGAAUUCUCGGUGUAGAGGUGAAAUUCGUAGAUAUCGGGAGGAACACCAGUGGCGAAGGCGCUGACCUGGACGAUGACUGACGCUGAGGCGCGAAAGCGUGGGGAGCAAACAGGAUUAGAUACCCCUGGUAGUCCACGCCGUAAACGAUGAGUGCUAGACGCUGGCGGAUUGACCCCGUCGGUGUCGAAGCUAACGCGUUAAGCACUCCGCCUGGGGAGUACGGUCGCAAGACUAAAACUCAAAGGAAUUGACGGGG
rnacentral:rRNA from 1 species